GUAACACACGAAAAGAUCGGGGUCCUUGUGGAAGCUUCCUCCGAGCAGACUGCCACCAUAAAAGGACUUACAAAGCAGCAGGGACAAGGACAAAAAGUGGGUAAACAAUUUCCUAUCCAGACCGUAGAAGCCCUUAAGGAAAUAAAUACGGAAAUAAACAACACAAACCAAGAGCUUUAUAUUGAUGCGAUUAGGAUCCAUAUUAUGGCUGGAUUUUGAAAAACCUAAAAAAUAUUAUGGCUAAUCCGGUUGUGUUAGCAUACAAUGUUGAUGGCGUUCAAGGCAAAGCUGCCUUGAAAGAAGAGAGCGCUUUCUAUGACGUAUUAAUUGAUGCAAUAAAUUUGGUUGGUGGCAGUGGAUCACCCGAAGAACAACUGAGAAAGGCCAUGCAGCUGCAGAAGAAGCGUUUGAUUGCGUAAUUGAUUGCGUAACCAAAAGACUGUACAAGUAUGAAGAACGCUCAGUAAUUAGCAUUUCAACAUUGCUUGAUCCGGUUUAAAAAACAGGUUUUCGUUCGCAAAGCCACAAAUGCUGAAAAACUUUUGAUUGAGGAACUUAUUCAUGUAAAUACCAAUAUGCAUAGAAAAUUUGCCUAAGAUCAAGCGCUCCGCUGCAAUAGUUGAUUUCCACCAAUAUAUUGGGAAACAUCACUCCUUGGGAGAUGUUGAUCCCCUCAAAUAUUGGCAGAGCCCGAUUAUGCUAUUAACAGAUUUCUGUGUCCUCCUCACUUAUCUGACGACUCCACACUACAACAUUCAAAAAUCUUAUAUUUUUACGCGUUUGCAGCAUAAUGAAAGUAGAAUAAAAGAUGUUAUUACAAAAUUUUUGUGCAUUUCUGCUUCAUCCACGGAGUCAGAGCGAUUGUUCAGCAAAGCUGGACAGAUUAAAAGGGAACGACGAGCUGCCUUAAAAGCUAAGCAUAUGGACUUCUUUUUCUUCAUCACAAUUCUUAAA